UUAUUUGGAUAUAAAUGACAGAAAGUAAAAUCCAACAGGUGUAAACAAAAUAGGAAUGUAUGACAUAACUGAAAAGUCCAGGGUAAGGCUGGCUUCAGGUAGUAGGAUUGAUGCAGGGACUCAAUUCAAUGUCAGCAGGACUCACUUUCCACUUCUUGGCUCUCUGUCUUCUAUGCUGACUUCUCUCAGGUUUUGUGUGGUAGCAGUACCAUUGAUGCUAAAAAUGUGAUGUCACUCUGACAACACGUGACUUAUGGGUUUCAAUUGGUAUGUGUCCAUCCUUGAACUACUCAUUACACUGCUCACAGGGGAAUAGACUGCUUCUUCUGACAGGUCUGAGCCACACAUAUACCCUUGGAAUAAGGGUGUGGAGGGAAGACCACUCCACCUGCACAUGGACUGAGACUGAAGGAGUGGGAGUGUGGUAGUUCCUUCCGAGGACAUAGACAUACUGUUUCCAGAAAGGUGUGUGUAUGCUGGUAUAAAACAAAGAAGACAAAACAGAUAUCCACUACAGCCCUCCCUAACUUCCCCAUUUUGGUUUCUGGCCCAGAGCUAUAUCAUUAUUCUUUUAUGAUUUAAGGCAUAACUUGAAGUAUGAAUACAGGUCCUCUGAAGGUUGGGGAAGAGUCUGGAUGGGGCCCAGAGCAGGGAUCUUGAAGAGGGGAUCUAUGGGAGACCCAAACAUCUGUGUGGAUAGACCAUUCAAUGACCUAAACUCUCAAUUCCUAGACCUUUUCAUCUCAGAGUCCUUUACUUCUGCUCCAAUCCAGCUGUGGUCAUAUCUGAAGCCUCAUCAUCAGGAACUGCUUUGCCUUCCAGUCUGACAUUCCAUCCUCUGACUUCAACCUUCAGAUUUGUCCUAAAGAUGACAAUUCUUCAACCUUGUCAGGACAUCCAUUCCACUGAUCCUUCCACUUUCUCCCAGUCCGUCAGCAACCUCUUGCCUGCGUUUCCUCCCUUUCCACAAUGACUUCAUGGUCAACCUCCCAAGCACUUCUCAAUUCAUUCUCCUUCCAUCAUUUCUACCUGGCAACAUCCCAACUCUCUGCCUCUGCCAGACCUGCCCUGUAGGAAGUGGCUCAGCGCUAUUGGAUAAAAUCGCACAUGAGGCUAUUUUAGAGUCACUUGCUGAAAUGCGACUAUUACAGAGCACUGAAGACAAACCAGAGCAACUGCACAGUCUUCAGCAACUCUCACAUCCCUAAACCAGGGGGGACCAUUUACAACAUAAUGAAGCCAGCUUUUCUAGGUUCUUCCCUCUCUACUCAGUGAGUCCCUUGUAGCUACUGUCCUGUUUUGGGUGGUUGUUUCCCACUGGAGUCUCCCUUUGCUUUGUCAGGGGAAUCUCUAACGCCCAAUCCUCUGCCCCUUAGUUUAAAUGAAGGCUAAAGAUUUCCCAUUGCUUUCCUAGCCUCAAACCCUGCUUCAUUCCCAGCUCCUAUCUCAGGCACAUUCUUGCUACCAUUCCUACUACCUUCUUCUCCAUUCCUUUUCUGGAACCGCAACUGAAAUUUAAUACCUGUUAGAGAAGCAGAUUGAAAAUUUGUGGGUUUUUACUUUUUUUCAGUACAGCCUGGCCGUCCA